AGCAGUCGCCGCGGUAAUGCGGAGGGGGCUAGCGUUGUUCGGAAUUACUGGGCGUAAAGCGCACGUAGGCGGCUUGGUAAGUUAGAGGUGAAAGCCUGGAGCUCAACUCCAGAAUUGCCUUUAAGACUGCCGAGCUAGCAGGUGAGAGAGGUAAGUGGAAUUCCGAGUGUAGAGGUGAAAUUCGUAGAUAUUCGGAAGAACACCAGUGGCGAAGGCGGCUUACUGGCUCAUACUGGACGCUGAGGUGCGAAAGCGUGGGGAGCAAACAGGAUUAGAUACCCGCGUAGUCCCUGUCUCUUAUAC
rnacentral:rRNA from 1 species